AAUAAAUCAAUGGAAAUUUUCAUUUUUAUUGAUAAACCAUGAUUUCCUAUUGAAUACAUAAUCAAGUACAAUUAACAAUAUAACAGCACUCUAAAAUUUAAACUUUCAGAAUCACCCUGGUUCAAUAUAUAAAGCUUUAGUUUCUGUGAAAAAGUUUUAUUUCAAUAGUAUCCUUCUUAUAUGCAAACAAGGUCCUAAAAUAGAUUUAUGAAUAAAAUUUUAUAAAGCAUACUGUGUACAGAAGAAAUUGACUCUACCACAUCAACUGCACCCCAGUAAAAAUCCAAAACAUACAGGUGUGAAGGACCAGAAUAGAGCCACAUUCUAUUAAAUCUAUCAAAGUUAAAUCUAAAGAUCUGUAAGUGGAACAUGGAUCUAUCCUCUACCACUGAUUCAAUACCCUGACAGCACGGUGGUAAAUCAUGGCCUCAUGACACGGAAUUUUUCUUAAAUAUGUACCAAUAUCAUUACAAAGACACACACAUACCAAUGUGUAAGUGUCUUGUGAAUUGAGAAACUCAGAAAUCACCCAGGAAAUAUCUAUUUCCCUGUAUUAUAACUACUGAAAUGAAACGGCAACAUUUUAUGGAACAAAGCAUGUGGCACCGUCUUCUGAUGAGGCACAUGAAAACACAACUCAAUGGCUAGAAUAGUUUUGAAACAAGCCUACUCACAACUGAUAUAUUCUUCAUUAAAAAUGUAUAUUUAUUGCUUAGUUUCCUGAAGAAAGUAGUGAUAAAAAUAACUGCACCUCAAAUUACUCCCAAUACAACUUAAGAUAUUUAAUAUUAACAUGAAUAUCAAUUGAGUAGACGACAGGAAAUUUUUAAGUUCUUAAAUGUGGUAUGCUUUACUGGAAUUUGAAAACAAACAAAAAAUAGUAUAUUCUUCUAAUAGAAGCCUCUUAGGGUAUAUAAGGGUACAUAUACUUAAGGUUCUGAAGCUUCUCCAAGAGUCAGUCUACUAACUGUCUUAAAUUUACAAAAUGCAAGAAAAUGAUGCACCCAAGAAUAAGUAAUGGCACCUGGACCCAUGGGAGCUACCUGAUGAACUCCAAGUAAGUACUGUCUUUAUGAUAAAGAACCUUGUCAGGGAGGUAUUUAUAACAUAUUUUUAUAAAAAUCAGUAUUAAACUUUAAUAAAGCCAAUUAGAAGUGAGGUUAUUACAAAAAACUCCAGAUUACAUGCUGGAAGACUAAUAAAAUGGCUCCUUUAAAGAAUGAUAAAGAAAAAUCAUAGCUCCAAUUUUUAAAACUGGAUAGUCAGAAAUGUUGAAUGAUAUCAAAAUGAAUGAUAUCAAAAUAAUUGAAUUGGAUCAAAAUAAUCAAAAUAAAGAUUACUAGCAUUCUGUUGCCAGAAUAUUUGUAACUAAAUUUAACAUAAAAAGUAAUUAUGGUUAAAUAUAACCUUUUUAAAAAAAUCAUUACACUCAGGCUCAAAAAAUGGAAGCAGGGAGACUUAUGCUAUGUACAAUUCUGAAAAUUCCCACAUGUAGAAUAUAGCACUGCAUACGUAAGGAACAAAAUGUUAGGCAAUAAGCAUAUAUCUGGAUUUUAACACAAUGUUCCACAGAUUAAAUAUAACCAAAAUACUAAACCAAAUUUAUUGUUAGAGUAUUUUUUAAAACAUUAAGUAUAACAGGACAAUACAAUAAAAGGAAUCUUUUCACUGACCCAACAUAUUUUAAUGGGUUUUAAUUACUUUUUUAGAAUUAUAACUAAAGGCAGUAACAUGCUGAAACCAAAUAUACUAGCGUUGAUCUGUCCUUGAAUUUAUGUGGCUACUAGUUAUUCCCAACAUUCCGUGUCUGGAACCCCUGGCCAGUCAAAACUGGAAGUGACAUAUGCUGGUGUCUUAAUAAUGAGGUUCCCACUCAGCAGGAAAGAAGGAGAGACUUCAGAUUUAUAUCAGUGAAUGAAACUGAGGGCACUGGAGAAGUUUCAGGAAAGUAAAAGGCAAAACAAGGUUUUUAGUAUUGUUACUCAUAGCAUGUGCAGAAAAGAGUGAAUGACGCCAGUUCCUGCUACUACUGCUCUCCUUUAACCCAGACGCCUGCGGCUUUUUUGGACCCUCUUCAUCCCAGCCCGGCUGUCACAGAGCCUGCCUCCAAGAGGCAUCCCCACUGCCUGCACACCUCCAACCACGGACCACUCUCUCCCCCACUCCGUCCGCUCCUGCUCUUCCUCCUCAAUCCCAUCCUCCACCUCACUUUCAAUACAAAGCUGUUGAUGGGUAGUCAGAGUUUCUCUAGGCAGCAGGGCUGGGGAAGCGGGAUCCUUUGCCAACCCUCCUCCAAGUUCAUUUUAAGAUAUUUUCACCUCCAAAGAAGUCCUAACAUAUAAAAGCCAAAAAUCCCACACAGGGAGGUCCAAACCCAAGUGUCUUUUUCAGAUCAGACUGUUUCAAAGGGGUAACACAACUAAAAACUUUUCCCCACUUGAAAGUAUAUACAAGAAAAUUAUAUAUUUGUUAUUUAACUGCUCUCUCUCCAUAGACCACCCUCUGAGGAUCUAUCUUCUACAUUCAGAAUUUAAGCUUUGAAAACCUGAAUAUUAGUAAUUCCUACCUUUGUGUCCAAAAUAUCCAUAAGCAAUCCAUGAAUAUCCACUCCACUGUAAUUUCUUUAAAGUCACUAAAAUAAAAACAUUCUUUCCAAAAUUCACUUUAAAAUAUAUUAUUUAUAUAUUUUAAUUUUGGAUUUAUUUUUAAACAGCUGAAAAUAGUAUAACGCAGCUUCUUUGGAGCCCAUGAUAAUUACAUUUCUACAUCCCCUUGAGAUAAAUGCUGAGUUCAGGAGUAAAAAUUAAACCACUUUUUGGAUUUAGUAAAAGAUCUUUACAUUUUUUGAUGUAUCUAAAAUAUUUCAAUAUUUUUCAAAUGGAAAGAAGAAACAAAGAAGAGAACGAAAGGAAAAAUAAAAAAAAAAAGAAAGAGGUGAGAAAAGAGGACAAACAGGAAAGGGAGAAGAAAGGAAUCUUUCUUUAAAACUUCACUCACAUUAAUGAGUAUUAUUCUUCUGUACCAUGUAACCAAUGAGCCAGAUGCUCAAAAUUCAAGAAUCUUCUGUAAGGUUCAGAGCAAGCAUUAGAUGUCAGUGUACAGCUGGUGGUCUGAUGCUCAGAUACCUGAAUCUAGAAGGUUCCACAGGACCCUGGCCAACAGUGUACAGUACUUCACAUCUCUCUGACCCCCAUCAAACCCCAGCUUCCUUCCCAGACAACAGGGAGGUCAGUCUGCUGCAUCUCAUACAGGAUUCAGUUGUGUCCCCCUGGUGGCUCAGAUGGUAAAGAAUCCACCUGCAAAGCAGGAGACCUGGGUUCAAGCCCUCGGUUGGGAAAAUCCCCGGGAGAAGGGAAUGGCUACCCACUCCAGCAUUCUUGGGGAGAAUUCCAUGGACAGAGGAGCCUGGUGGACUGCAGUCCAUGGGGUCGUAAAAAGUCAGACAUGACUGAGUGACUAACACUUUCAUUUUCCAACUGAGCAUUCCCCAUGACUCACAUGUGUCUCCUGGUCUAGGAUCUUGUCCAAGUCCCAUAAGGCACAUGUGGCAAUGCUCUGUGACCCUCAGCCAGAACAAAGCCUGCAUGUGGGGCUGGAGGCUGGGUACACAGAGAUCACCCAGGGCUCCUCUGAUCACUUUUCAGUGACCUCAACCUCUGAGCCAUGGGCAGCACAGUAAAGACCAGUCUCUCUGCUUCUCUCCAGAGGGAAAACAGGCAAAAACCAAGGGAUGGGGUAUGUGACUACAUCUAGAGUGGAACAAUAUCAUUUUCCUUAAAAAAAAAAAAAUCACCACCUCCAUCCUAAAGAAAAACACUACAUCUGAUCAAGAAAGAUGUACUGAGACCAUGGGCUUCCCAGGGGGCACUAGUGGGAAAGAACCUGUCUGCCAACGCAGGAGACAUGGGUUCAAUC
rnacentral:lncRNA from 1 species